rnacentral:rRNA from 1 species
AGCAGCCGCGGUAAUUCCAGCUCCAAUAGCGUAUAUUAAAGUUGUUGCAGUUAAAAAGCUCGUAGUUGAAUUUCGGGGUCAGUAGGUCGGUCGUGCCACAGGUAUGCACUGGUCUCACUGAUUCCUCCUUCCUGAUGAACCGUAAUGCCAUUAAUUUGGUGUUGCGGGGAGACUGGACUGUUACUUUGAAAAAAUUAGAGUGUUUAAAGCAGGCUAACGCUUGAAUACAUUAGCAUGGAAUAACGGAAUAGGACGUUCGAUCUUAUUUUGUUGGUUUCUAAGAUUGACGUAAUGAUUAAUAGGGAUAGUUGGGGGCAUUAGUAUUCAAUUGUCAGAGGUGAAAUUCUUGGAUUUAUUGAAGACUAACUACUGCGAAAGCAUUUGCCAAGGAUGUUUUCAUUAAUCAAGAACGAAAGUUGGGGGCUCGAAGACGAUCAGAUACCGUCCUAGUCUCAACCAUAAACGAUGCCGACCAGGGAUCGGCGGAUGUUGCCUUUUAGGACUCCGCCGGCACCUUAUG